rnacentral:lncRNA from 1 species
GCACCGCCUCCCCGCACCGACCCCCCCCCGGGGGCAGCCCCCCCAGCCGGCCCCGGGACCCCCGGGGGGCUCCGCAGCCCCCGACGUGGGGCAGGAGAGGAGCGAAGCGCGGGACGGCGACGCCACCGAGGCCCCGUCCGUCCCCCGGGACCUCCUCGAGGCCAUCAGCGGGGUGAAGGCGGCGCAGUCCCGCAUGGCCGAGGACAUCCGCGGGAUCAAGGAGCUGCUGGGCCUGGCGGGCGAGCAGCGGGGACCCCGCGGCGGGGGGAGCCCGGAGAGCGACGGGGAGGCUGCCGGGAGCCAGUCUGCAGCCUCCGAGUCCUCCGGGUCCCCCGAGUCGGGCGAGGAGGGCACCGAGCGUGGGGGGACCCCGCGGGGGACGCAGCCUGCGCCCAGGACCGGCAAGGGGACACCGGGGACACAGCCCCGCUCCCCGGGGGCGCGAGCAGGGACGCGGAGAGCACCAGCGACCCCCGAGAGGCGGGCAGGCGCUGCCCCCGAUCACACGGGGACGGCUGGUGCCGGUGCCACCGCCCCGGGGAUGCAGCCGGGGGUCCCUGGCACUCAGGCUGCCGUGCUGGGGACACAGCCAGGGUCCCCCGGCACCCAGACCUCCACCCUGGGAGCACAGCCUGGGUCCCCUGGCACCCAAAUCACCACCCCGGGGGCACAGCCUGGGUCCCCUGGCACCCA